CUUACCUUUAUGUAUUUUCACCUGCUGUUUCUCUUGAGUUGUGCUGCACAUGGUCAAGAGUUGGAAGAAAGGAAAGACAGAAAUGAUUUGCUGAGCGUGUAUUGAGGACCUGCUGUCUUCUUGAUGAACACAACGAUGUACAGAAGAAAACCUUUACCAAAUGGAUAAACGCUCGAUUUUCAAAGAGUGGGAAACCACCCAUCAAUGAUAUGUUCUCAGACCUCAAAGAUGGGAGAAAGCUCUUGGAUCUUCUAGAAGGCCUCACAGGAACAUCAUUGCCAAAGGAACGUGGUUCCACAAGGGUGCAUGCCUUAAAUAAUGUCAACCGGGUGCUGCAGGUUUUACAUCAGAACAAUGUGGAGCUGGUGAAUAUCGGA
rnacentral:lncRNA from 1 species